CUAGCUCUAAGCUAGCUUCCCACACAGCAGGUAGGGCAUAUCUGUCCUGUGCCACGUAAACAUACAUUGAGCGAAACUACACUGAACAGAGCUAAAAUGUUUUAGAAAGCCAUUUCAUGCUUAGGCCUACUUCAGCCUGUUUAGUUCAUCGUAAGCUGUCUUCUCUCACUUUAGGAUAUGUCUUUAGCUGAGGUAAGCUAAAGCAAUAUGAAGUGGUUUUAAAUCUAUACACACACACAUGCAUUCAGUUUUGCAAUGGUUUAACUGAAGUGUUUUUCAAACCAGUUUAGUUAAUCAGAUACAACCUUUGUGUCUUGUCAGGCAGUGAAAUCCCACUGCUUUGAGAUCAACUGGACAUCCAGCAGCAUAGUCAGGGUUGUCUGUAGAAUAUUUAUGCUGUGCCAGUGCUGAAAGUGCCAUAUAGAAAAAACGACUUAUAGUCACAAAAGUUUACCAGGAGGCAGGAUCUGGAUUAACAUUAUCAAUCAUCAGCUUGUGUUUUUAGAGUAAUUAAAACCUGUAAUUUCCAAAUUGAUAACAACACUGAACUCCCCUGAGCCCUGCUUCCCUGUGAGUGUCUGAAGAAAAUAGUCCACACACCAAAAACAGAAUAAAGCCCCCAAACCUCAUGAAAAUAACAAUGAAAAUAAUGGCAAUCAAACUUUACUGGGAAAAAAAAAAAAAAAAAAAAAAGCCUUGAACUAUGCCAUAUGGCAGUAAAUCAUUGGGCUGGACAUGGAUAAACCACAGGGCAAGAAUAAAAUAUUCAUAGCAAUUAGUGGCAUAGACAGAAUAGAACCCCCUCUGUGCACUUGCCGUUGUUAUGGUGAUUUCUCCUCCCAACAUUCCCUCUUCUCCCACCAAUGCCAUUGGCUCUCUCCAUGGCUUUCCAUCUGGCUCUUGCUUUCUUGUUUAUCCCAAUGAAAUUAGCUCGACUGCUCAUUUGUCACCUUGGAGGUGUAGUAGCUGUGAACAUGUGCGGUGCAAGAGAGCAAGACAAGCAGAUGGUACUUGAGAAUAGAUAAACAGACAGAUGCAUUAAAGAGACAGCAAAAUGCUGGUCACCCCAAAGGCUUCUUUGUGCACAGAUGAAUUUUCAAGCAGCAGCUGGAAUAGCUGAGGCAAAACCUGGAGCUACCUUGGAGCCUGGCCUUGGUUUCAGGGAAGCCAGAUGGAUCUGUCCAUAUCUGAGCCAUACUGAUUCUUCUUUCCUUGACGGGAGAUGGAUUCCCUGCUCUCUGUAUCCUGCAGAGAAAAGAUUUUGCUGCACAAGGUGUGUAUGUUUUCAUUUAUCACUUGCAAAAUGUCUCUCUAACACAAAUAAUGGAUGUAUGUGGGGAAUUAGACUCAAUGUAGGGUAAUCUAUUGUCUCAGAGACAGUACCUUGACAUCCUGCGUACCUUGAGCCCCAGAUGAAUUAUUUUGUCCUUGGAUUAGUUUUGAAUUAUGUACAUUUCCAUCAAGUCUCACUUGAAGAUGAGACACAUGAACGUAUUCAACAUACUUGACACACCUCAGUCAGCCAGGCCCCCAGACAUCUCACUGCUACACCAGAAGUUCCCAAUGAAGGGCAGAGCUCAGCCAUACUCCUUGGGGUGAUGGAUCAGAUACUGUUCUCCCCACCUCAGCUCUGUGCUUGGAAAACUAAGCUUGAAAGCUUCUGUUUCUAUGAGAUGCACCCUUUUACACUGGAUCUGGUGUUAUAUGAGGUGAAUUCUCCUAGCUCUUUCUAGUUUUGCUGAGAAAUUCUGUUUAUGCCAAACAUUUGAGGACAUAAGUUAAGAGCUGCUGGGCUGUUUCAGCUGACAGACAUAUCAGCAGAACCUUACCUCUGAGCAGAUAAGAAAGGUAAGUUUAAGAUUUGGAGACUAUGGCUGGACUGUUUAGAGACACUGUGUUGUAAUGAAAUAAUGGGAGGCCAACGGGCUUCAGAUACCUGGUGCACAAAAGGAAAAAAAAAGGAAACUCGGUACACUAAAUCCAAAGUUUGUUUUCAAAUAAAAACAUAGUCAAGUUCUCUUGAAAUUUCAGUUUGUCCCUUUCUAUAGAGGGAGUGACAUACAGAGAAAAUUUUCAUACAUAACAUGCACUGAUUUCCUUUGUAAAACAGAUUUAAGAAUUAGGAA